CCCUCAUACCACCCUAACUCAUGUCAUGUAAGGCUUAAGUUUCAGGCCAGGAGCUUCUAUUGAGUGCCAGUUAAUACAUGUUAAUAUGAAACAUGAGUAAUUGUUGAUGAUUUCUCUUACCCUUUUUCAAAAAAUCCUCUCCAUUCUCUCUGUACUUCUAGUCUUCUCUCUCUUCCUGAUUCUACCACGUUUGUCUCCCAACCUAUACAGUUAAAUAGCUCGGACUCAGGAGAACUGUACUUUCUUAAGUUGGAUUGUAUUUCUUUUUUUUAAUCCUGUGGGAAUUGGAAAAUACCCAUGUGUUCUCAAACUUUCUCUAAAGACCCAAAAUAUAUAAAUGUGAGCAGUAAUCUCAAACCAUAAUUUGCCAUGCAGUUCCAUUUGAUCUCAGCAGAGAGAAAGAAAUACUGUUCUCCUAGGUCCACUUCCCUGAGGAGUGGCCCAGUGAUCUGUGCUAGAAACCACCAUCUCCUUGACUACAGGGGUCAUGUACAAAGAAAACAUAUUUCUUUUCAGCUUUCCUCCACAAGUUGAAAGAUAGGUUUUACAUUAGAAUCUAAUGUAACACUGUUGGGGGCCUAUAAUAAAUUAAAAAGUUGGCAAAUAGGAUUUGCAAGUAAGUUUUCCAUCCCUUUAGUUUCACAUUUUUCCCUGACACUUGACUUUUCAGCGUCCCGAAGUGUCUUUCACUGUUGGGUUUUCCCUGGAUGCUGUGAGUUAAUGUAGAAAUGAUCUAAGAAGCAAUAUGACAUCGUGGUUAGCAGCAGGGGUUGGUAAACUUGUUCUGUAAAAGGCAAAUAAUAAACUGUUUUUGCUUUAUGAGUCAUACUCCCUGUUGCAACUACCCAGCUGUCAGUAGUGAAGAAUAAUGAUAGACAAUAUGUAAAUAAAUGAGUAUGGCUCUGUUUCUGUGGAACUUUUUACUGAAAUAGGUGAGGGGCUGCAUUUGGCUCACAGGAUGUAGUUUGGUGCUCCCCGAUUAAGACUGCAGGUUUUGCAGCCAGCUUGCCCGUUCUGGCUCUUUUCCUCACUUCCUAGAUCCACAAUGUUAGUUUUGUGAGAGGAAGACAUGAUAGCAGAGCCAGCUGCCAAGCUGCUAGGAUGGCCUUGGAGUCAGACAAUUCAUCCUAUCUCUGGUGCUCAUUAUGAGAAGGAAGACCAGACCUGAGGCCCAGGGCUCCCAGCUUCCCACCCGUAUUUUAAAUGGAAGAGCCUAGCUUCUAACUGAUCUUGGUCUACCAGUCUAGUUCCUGCACUACGUUUGGACAAAGGGUUUUGUGAAGCAAAUAAACAAGUAAAUAAAUAAACUUUAAAACUGCUGGUUUAAUGUAAUCCACAACUCAGUCAUAGAAAAAAUACUUUUUGGUACCUGCUUUAUGCUUUUUCUCAAUAUUGAGGAUUUCAAGGCAAGGUAAGUCCUUGCCCUCAUGGCUCUCAUAUUCAAGUAGAGAGACAGGAAUUAAACUAGCAAACAAGUUGAUAUAGAGAUAAAUGAGAACAACAAUAGUAUAAGUUAAACAGAGAGUUAAAAUCAGGCAAGAUACCUUACAUGGUACAGCUGAAUGAUGGCCUUCAAAAGGAUAUUUAAGUUCUGACCCCUGGAACCUGUGCAUAUUACCUUAUAUGGCAGCAAGAUAUAAUUAAGAAUCUUGGAAGAAGGAGACUAUCCCAGAUUGUGCUGGUGAGCCUUAAAUGCAAUCACAUGCAUCCUUUUAAGACAGGAGCAGAUCUGGGAGCUCACAUCAGCAAGAUGGCCACUAGAGUUACCUGGCAUUCGUCCUCCCCACAAAAAGGGACAAAGACAAUAAAUAAACAACUGUAGUUUGACCAGAGUGACUGAGGAAGUAUAUUGGAGAGCACCAAAGGAGUGGGAAAAUCCUAGUGGAGCAUGGACUCCCAAAAUAGCACCAUAGAAAAAGGAGCGAAUUAUCUUGCAUCUACCACAUUGUCUCCCCCAUUGGGAUCAGUGUGGAGACAUGGGGGAUUUCUUCUUUCAGGGAAAAGGUAAGCUGGAGACCUCUAGCAGUUCUCAUAGCCACUACAGAUGCCAGUGGUCUUUGCUAUAGGAGCAUCCCCAGUCUUCAUGGGCUCUGAAUCCAGUUAACAAAGUUGCUAGGAGUUCAUGCAGAUGCAUUGCCCCAGAGUAGGAGCCUAGGUGAUGCACCACCCCCCACCAACCCCAUGAGCUAGGCUGCUGCAGCGUGGUGCCAUCUUGAAACCAGACCCACUGCCACAAUGUGUUCUGACCUGGGUGCCAGCACUGCUGCUGUCUCCAUUCUUGAGACCUUGCCAUCAUUUCAUCAUAUUCAU